GCCGUUUCCCCCCCAGUAUUUCCCCGAAACCGCCUCAGCUCAUCCCACCUGCCGGAGCCGGCCUCCGCACCGCGGCCUCCAGCCACCACCCUCAUCCCAGACAAUGAGCUGUGGAGAAGAGCAGGUGAAGGAGGGACUCUUGAAAAGCUGGAGCUCCGAACUAAGUAGAAGCAGUCUUUUCUCAGAACAGAUGACUUCUGUCCAAGACUGAAUAGACAUGCUUCACUUGAACAUUGCCCUCUCCAGAACUUGACAGCUGCUGAGAGCUUCAGUCCAUCACAAACCCUUUGAGGACACCUGCAUCUUCUAGGACUGAUGUUCAGAAGUGCAAAGCAUGCAGAGCUCCUGUAAAUUGUCUAAGCCUGUGCAUGGUUGUCACUUCUGCAAACUGAGGCUCUAGUGUCUCAAACUGGACAGAAGGUUCUACAGUUUUGGGUUACAUAUCAAAAGAAGCUGCCUAAACAUCAGUUUUGAAAAAUGCAACCUAUGAAUAGAAUUUGCUUUCUAUUCCCACUUCCAGAAGAAUUUGUUCUGUGGAUACUCUCUCCUUGUGAUUUAUACAAUGUUUUCUAAGACUAAAUCUAUUAUGUGAAGGAUUCAAAAAUUGAGAUGGGCAAUUCUAUACAGCAUGAUUUGCUGAAAGAUUACCUCACAGUAAAGCAAAGUUGCCUUGUUGAAAGCAGGUGAUGAAAACUUGUACCUAUCAUUCUGGAUCUCCUCUUUCAAGUAAUAGAACAUUUCCUCAAACUGAAUCGGGUGUUUUUAUAUUUCAGUACCUGCCAAAAGGGGUGGGUUUGGCUGCAAAGGGAAAACAGGAAAUGGCUUGAAAAUUAAUAAAGCUUGCAGAAAACAGUUUUUAUGCUUCUGAUCAAAUAUUGCAGGGCCCACAGCUGCCCCCAGGGUACAGCAACAAGAAAUCUGGCAACAGAAGGAGACAGUAUCUUUUUAGUUACAGUGCAGAUUUGCAAAAGAUAUCAUCAAAUUGAAUGCUUAAUUUACACUUUUUGAAAAGUGAAAGAGUAGGAAGGGAAAAUAUGGGUUUAUUUUCUAUGUACUGGAGAUGUUGUAAGCUAAGAUUUCACUUGUACUGGAGAUGGUUUUGUGGAAAGAGAAAUUCUAGCAGCACAUGGAGCUGCACAUUCAUGGAAAAUUCUGUACUGAGUCAGGCAGAAGCCAGGACAUUUGAAUCUGUCACCAUGCUACAAUCUCUGACAACUUGUGAGACUUUGUGGGAUGGUAGAGGGGUAAUUUGGAUGUUCCUCUCUCAAGAGAUGAGACAUUUAUUUGUGUGGCCUUUUUGUAUGUGUGUAUAUAGAGAGAAGUCAUCUGUAUAUGUACAUGCACAUACUUAGAUGUACAUAGUAGAAUUUAAACUGAGAGUAUGGAUGACUGUGUUCCCAUUUUAUGGGGUUAUUUACAUGGAAGUCAUUCUUAGAAGGCUUUUGCAGAAAUACAGACCCUUGCCCUCAGAAAUGGCUUUUACCUUCCCUUAUUCACAUAUUCUUGAAGUUCAUUCUAUCUCUUUCAUUGAUUUGCGUAGGCCUUAAAUAAAUAGCCGUGGCUUUGUGGUAGCUUUUGGGUUUGAGUCACUGUGCUUUUAGUUUCUCAUUUCUGGAAAUGCAUUUGGUAUAUAUUCUCAUAUCUUGCAUUUUAGCCUCUAGCUUUUAAAAUGGCAAUCCAGAAGCUUUUCAUUGGGCAGGUGUCAGGGAAUGGGAGAACUGGAGGAUGCUGCUUUCACCCUAUUUGUGUUUCAGGAAAGCUUUCCUGACUGACAGGGACACUACUUUUGAUGUGAAGCCAGACUUCCAGCUGAUAUAAGACAGAAGAAGAAUUCACUGUUUGAAAAGUAAAAUGUGUCCUAUGGGAAGGGAUUGGUAUUAGUGCUGACAAAUACUAAUAUUCAUAUAUGCAGCUAUUUCUAAGAUAAGCAGCUAUAAAUCAAAUCCUGUUCCUUGACCAUCUGUGCUCCUGACUGUAAAAUAUUAUAUGCACAGAUGUGUGAGCAACCCUAGCUGUCAGAUGCAGAGAAGAGAUAA